rnacentral:rRNA from 1 species
AGAGUUUGAUUCUGGCUCAGGAUGAACGCUAGCUACAGGCUAACACAUGCAAGUCGAGGGGCAGCAUUGGAGUAGCAAUACUUCAGAUGGCGACCGGCGCACGGGUGAGUAACACGUAUCCAACCUGCCGCUUACUCGGGGAUAGCCUUUCGAAAGAAAGAUUAAUACCCGAUGGUAUAAAGAGUUCGCAUGUUCUCUUUAUUAAAGAAUUUCGGUAAGCGAUGGGGAUGCGUUCCAUUAGAUGGUUGGCGGGGUAACGGCCCACCAAGUCUACGAUGGAUAGGGGUUCUGAGAGGAAGGUCCCCCACAUUGGAACUGAGACACGGUCCAAACUCCUACGGGAGGCAGCAGUGAGGAAUAUUGGUCAAUGGACGAGAGUCUGAACCAGCCAAGUAGCGUGAAGGAUGACUGCCCUAUGGGUUGUAAACUUCUUUUAUAAGGGAAUAAAGUGAGGGACGUGUCCCUUUUUGUAUGUACCUUAUGAAUAAGGAUCGGCUAACUCUGUGCCAGCAGCCGC